rnacentral:rRNA from 1 species
AGGUAUUAACAAAUUAAGAUAUAAACCUUUAUAUUUUGGCGGCAUUUUAUCUAAUUAGAGGAACCUGUUUUUUAAUCGAUAUGCCACGAUAUCUCUUCACUUUUAUUUACUAAAUUUAUAUAUCAUCAUUUUCAAAUAAAUUUUAAAAUAUAAUUUUAAACAUACUCUAAAAAAAUAGAUCACGGUAUAAUUAAUAUAAAAGAUAAAAUGUGUUACUACAAAUAUAAUUUAAAGACUUAUAAAUAAAAAUUUAUAAUAAAUCAGGAUUUAAAAGUAAAAUUAAAAAAUUAAUUUAUUUUGAAUAAGACUAUAGAUGUGC